rnacentral:lncRNA from 1 species
AACAAACUAAUGAAUUUGAUUUGAGAAACAAUGAACGUAAGAACACUGUGGAAUAUUCUACCAGCUGUUUACUAAGCCCAUGUGUGUAUAAGUUAUAUAGUAAGAUAUGAGAAGUGUUUCUAGAAGUCUUUUAAAUGUAAACAUUCAAGCAAUACACAUUUUAAAAGAGUCCUUAAAUUACUGGCUAUAUAUACCUAGACACACACACACACACACACACACACAGCCUUGCACAAAUUGUCUCUAAUUAGGAUAUAUUUGUCCAAACUUAGAUGUGUGACUCUUUAAGGUUCAGAUAAACUUUAGUCUCCAAAGAUAAAUGGAACUCUAAAAGCACAUGAAGUGGAUGUUUAAUUUUGUGGUUUCUUUUUGUUUCUCAGAGAAGCACUCAACAAAAUGAAAGAUGUAUAUGAGAAAAAUCCACAAAUGGGGGAUCCAGGAAGUCUGCAGCCUAAAUUAGCAGA